GGGGCUCAACGCGCCCCUCCAGGCCACGGAGUCAGACCUCCGUCCUUUCAGCGGCAGGGGCAGAUUACGUAACUCCAGUCUUCUGGUCACUAAAGGAGGAUAACAGAGGGCGGUCGAGAGACUCCGCUGACGCCUCAGGACGCAGCGCGGUCGAGCCCCAGGACCCUAAAGUCUACGGCCCAGCGCACCCCACCAAGCGAGCGCCCGCGGCAGCGUGACGUAAUCUGCCCCAAAUGCUGUGGCCCGGGCCGCGCACGGCUUCGGGGCGGGACUAUGCGGUGACGUCGAGGUGCGCGGCGCAGCGCGCGGCGUCAGUCUUGGCUGGCGGCGUCUGUACUCCAUACUCCGUACUCGCCGCGGCGCGGUCUUCUGCAGCAUAGUCAUCCACCGCAAUCCUGGGCCUCACGUGUUGCCUGAGCAUUCCUGAGCCCAGGUGGGAGCCUUGGCUGAGGUGAUGGUCUCAAAGUGGAAGAGCUUACUGUCACAGCAACUGUUUUGCAAGAUGCCCCGGUAAAUCACGUUGCAAAGACCCCAACUCUGCCUUCCUGGAACUAGGCCUGCGUUUUCUCUGAACCAUUAUUUCAUGGGGAAAAUGAAAUCUACUUCAUGUGUCCUGUCUUACUUACUCGUUCAGAAGUGAUUUCUGAGCCGUAAGAUACAUGACAGAAAAAUAAAGGGGAAAAGGCUGCAUUUAUAUUAACUACAUGAUGAUAAAUAAGGAUGUUUCUGGUCACAGUGAAGAGCCAUGCUAGAAUUGUAGUGUCAUAGAAUAAUGUGGAAGUUUAGUUCGUGUUGUCUGAUCUAUUUAAUAAUUUAAUAAGUUUAUCUCUUCCAAGACACCUUCCCUUCUUCCUUAGCCAGAAAUGAUCUUUCCCUGAGAGUCAUCAGUAGCUCUGGGCUCCUGGAACCAAGCUUAGGUGCCUAAUUGAACUCUGUUCUCUUCCCACAGCCUCCAGCAGGGACUGGUGCUUAGUGAGAGUGGGCUGCCAGAUUCCUUGAGUGUGGGGGAUUUGGGUGAAUGAGGGUAGCAAGCCUCCAGCGUGCUUGGGUCUGCGGUGACCCUAUGCAUUCCUUCAGUGCUUGCUAGAACAGUUUUGAAACGGUUUGAGGCCUUGCCCUGCUCCAUCCAGAGCAAGGUUAUAGAAAUUUCAGACAAUGACUGGCUCCCUCCUGGAUCUGGUGUCUUGUAUAGAGCUGGGCCUUAUAUAGAUCUGCCCCAUCUAAUGUGGCAGCCACUUGGUAUGCAUGAUUAAAUUAAAUUUAAUUUUCACACUAACCACAUUUCAGGCGGUCAGUAGCCACAGGUGGCCAGUGGCUACCAUAUUGGGCCGCACUGAUUAGAGGGCAUUUCUGUCGCUGUGGAAGUUGUUUUGGACGAUGCUAGUGUGAAAGGUAAAGGGAAUUCUGAGUGUUUGCUAUGCUCCAGGCUCAGUACAAAUUUUAUUUUAUUAUACACUUAAAGCAAAAGUCUUAUAAAAGUUGAGAAUGAAGCCAAGAGAGGUGGUAAGGGUAGGAGUUGAAACAGUGGAGAGGAAUAACAGGGAAGAGUCUUGCCCUGAGAGACUCAUGAACAGGAUAUUUACAAGGCAAAGCAAAGAGAACCAAAGUCUCAGUUCUGCAGAGGGGCUGAGUGCCCCAGGAGCUAGUGGAAGGUGAGGUCAAUGUGUACUCAUCUUAAAGGAAAAACUCAUGGAAGAGGAAGGUGCUAAUGUUGAACACCUAUUUUGUGCCAAAUCUCUUAAUUCUUGUUUUAAAUAUUGGAGGUAUCACCAUGAGGUUGUGUUUAAAUUCAGUACACAUGAGGGGCCCAAGGUCAGAAUUAUGUGUCCAGGGUUGCCCAGCCACAAACCAGCAGAUCAGGGUUUGAUGCCAGGCCUCUCUCAUCCUGCAGCCUGAGUGGAAUAUAGAAGCCGGUGGGAAGGAGAUGGAUGCCUUCAAGUUCUUGUCUUGGUGUUAGGCCAGGAACAGUUGCUGAACACCCCAGGCCUGCUGAGGUCCCUCCUUGAGUCUCAUGUUCAAGCAAUCUUUGUCCAUGAAACUGGGAGGCGACCUUGUUAGCUGCCAGUUCCUGACAGCCACCUCUCACCAGUGGCUCCACUGUGUGUCCCUGACCCAGCACAUGGCACAAGAGUACCCCUCAUCCCUCAGUGUUUCUACAGCAGCAAUCCUGAGAUGCCGGAGCUAGAGGGGACCUGACCUGAGAGAAGAUACCUUCAGUGGCUGCUAGGCUGUUCCUUGGAACCUGUGCAGGGAUGAGGCCUGCCUGUGUUAAUACAUCUGCUGAUGAGUGGAGCUGAAUUUGAAUGCAAGUCUUGGCACCUUAAUUGAGCAAGUUUGAAACCUUGUUUGCUGCCCUUCUGGAAGGAGUCAGGAAUUUCCAGUUCUGGGCCUGGCCUAUGGGUCUGACAAACCUCUGGCCCUAGGUUUGGGUGCCAGGUUCUCUGCUUCCAGAAUGAGAAGCUUUGCUGUGCACCAGGACCUGGGCCCUUCUGGUAUCUCCUGAAUGAAAAACAAGGGCUAUUUAAUAAAUAUGGAUUUAAAUAUGUGA